UCACACAGAGUAGAACAGAUAUAGGGAAAAAUCCAUUCGCGAAGGCACUAGAGAAUUAAGAAUGCCAUGAUUUCUUCCCUUUUCCUUCACUUUAGUCUUCCAACAGUGCUUCCCUUGGUUGAAACCACAUGGUAACCAUUGAGCAGAAGAACCUAGGAAAUACAGUUUUCAGAACAGCAAGGAGAAAGCUGAAGAAUAAAAAAGGGGAAAGAGGGUUGCCAAUUAUAGUUGAUUUGACAUGAAUAUGAGUCUUCUGUUGCUUCCUAAAAACAAAUAGCACUCUCAAAACCAUUUCUAUCUUACACCUUCAGAGAAGCCAGCCUUCAUUAAAGACUGAAUGAAGUAAAAUAAAGACUUAACACAGACUGGCAAAUUGGAUAAAGAGUCAAGACCAAUCAGUGUGUUUUAUU
rnacentral:lncRNA from 1 species